CCUCAAAUCAGGCGGGACUACCCGCUGAACUUAAGCAUAUCAAUAAGCGGAGGAAAAGAAACUAACAAGGAUUCCCCUAGUAACUGCGAGUGAAGCGGGAAAAGCUCAAAUUUAAAAUCUGGCAGUCUUUGGCUGUCCGAGUUGUAGUCUGGAGAAGCGUCUUCCGCGCUGGACCGUGUGCAAGUCUCCUGGAACGGAGCGUCAUAGAGGGUGAGAAUCCCGUCUUUGACACGGACUACCAGUGCUUUGUGAUGCGCUCUCAAAGAGUCGAGUUGUUUGGGAAUGCAGCUCAAAAUGGGUGGUAAACUCCAUCUAAAGCUAAAUAUUGGCGAGAGACCGAUAGCGAACAAGUACCGUGAGGGAAAGAUGAAAAGCACUUUGGAAAGAGAGUUAAACAGUACGUGAAAUUGCUGAAAGGGAAACGCUUGAAGUCAGUCGCGUCCGCUAGAACUCAGCCUGGCUUUUGCUUGGUGCAUUUUCUAGUGGACGGGCCAGCAUCACUUUUGGCUGCGGGAUAAAGGUCGCAGGAAUGUGGCACCUUCGGGUGUGUUAUAGCCUGUGAUUGUAUACCGUGGCUGGGAGUGAGGACCGCAGCACGCCUUCAUGGCGGGGGUUCGCCCACCUUCGUGCUUAGGAUGCUGGCGUAAU
rnacentral:rRNA from 1 species